GACGAACCGUGCGAACGUUAUUCGGAAUCACUGGGCUUAAAGCGCGUGUAGGCGGAACGGCACGUCGGUCGCUGAAAGCCCCCGGCUCAACCGGGGAACGGGCGCCGAUACGACCGUUCUCGAGGGACGUAGGGGGACCUGGAACUUCCGGUGGAGCGGUGAAAUGCGUUGAGAUCGGAAGGAACGCCCGUGGCGAAAGCGAGGUCCUGGACGUUUUCUGACGCUGAGACGCGAAAGCCAGGGGAGCGAACGGG
rnacentral:rRNA from 1 species